AUGGCGGCUGGCUGCGGUAGCCGGGUUUGCGACGGGACAAAAAGCCACUUGGUGGCGCGCUGGUGUGAUGGGCAUCAUGGGCUCAUGGCCAGGGCAGUGGCACUGGUGCACGCGCGGCGCGCGACGGCUGGUUAUGCGCAGCCAAGCGAGGUCGCUAGAAACGCGACGCGGGGGUUUGGCGCAGCACAGCGUCGAGGCUGGCGGCCCACAGAGUCGCUAGCACAACCUGGCCGUACGCGCAGCGACGUGAUGCGAACUGCUUGGCGGAACGGCGGCUGCAGAUAUUGCCGAUAUUGCCGGCCGAGCAGGACGAGGUGCGUCCGAGGAUCUGCUCCGUCGGCUAGGCCGAAAAAGGUCGAAGCCCACGUUGGCUUUGCCCACCCAUUCCAGCCGUUCCUAUUUUGGACUGAAAUCCCAAAUAGGCUGAGGCCGAUGGCACGUUCUGCGCUAAAAAUAAAGAAAACGAAAAAAAACACGAAGUGGCCUGUGUACCACUGGUUUGGGUUUCGUAGCUCGGACCCAGUACCAUUUUUACGUUUGUCUUUUCUGUUUUUGCAUUCAGCAAUGCAGUUUUUGAAUGUAUGUGUAUUUACGUAA
rnacentral:rRNA from 1 species